ensembl:lncRNA
CAAAUGUAAGCAAGAAAAUAGGGGUGGGGGGAGAAGGAGAUGACCUAAAUACAGAGAUACUGGAGAAAAUAUCAUAAAGAGAAGUCGUGACUGAAACAAAUCAACAGGGCCAAUACACCGCCAUUGCCAAGGAAAUCUUGACUCCUCUGUCCAAACGCAUCUGCCCACAACCGUACAGGCUUACUCAUUGCUUCCAGCACACAGAUGGAGCUAACAGUCCCCGUGAGAUGUGAGUGAAGGACAGUACUCGCCAGGCUGGGAAGCAGCCCCAGCCCCGACAUGCUUUCCUUUGGCUCCUGCUCUGCUGCCUCCUACUGAUUUCAGAAGCCCAAAUCCAUCUCCUUGUGGGAUGCCACAGCUCCUUUCCAAGCCCCUCCCCAGAUCUCCUCUGCCUGUUUGCCUGGAGCUCGCUGUUCUGCAGGACUUCAGAUGGACCCCUCCAUACCCACAGGAAGGAGCAGCUUUGGCACUGGUAACCAGCAACACUCAGCUUUGGUGAGUCCAAGCAGUGAGGCAGUUCGGCAACUUGUUACACACUGCAAGAAUGACAGCUUACCCAGGUUCUUCAUAAGCAAAAGAAGAGUGCCAGGAGCCCUCUACCAGCCAGCAGCUCCCCCAGGCAGAGCUGGAGCAUGACUUCUGCUGUCGAUGGCUUUGUGGUAGUUGCUGAAGUCAUCAAACUUGUUUAUUUUCUCUGAAGAGGUUUACAUCCUGAUAGCUAGGCACGUGCCUAGACCUCAUUUGUGGAUGUUAGCAGUCUGACCUCAGUCUUGUCAACCGAUUCCUGUUUUUCAAUCUAUUCAAGUUCUCUGCUGAAACCUUUGCUGCUGUCUGCCCAGCUGAAGCAAAAGGGGAAGGACAAUGAAGGACAGGAGUGGAGGGGCUCAUAGCUGCUGGGAGGGUAUUUUCCAGCCUCAGGAAUCCCCCGUGGAAUUAAUGCACUGUUUUUGUCUUCCAGUUCACACAAAGCUUGCUUUUCACUUCACAGCCCACAGCAUCGCAGACAGCAUUCAGGACAUCGGCACACCAGAGGCUGCUGAAGCAUCAUUGUUUUCCUUCCAG